ACCUUCCCAACACCUGGAGAUAACUCGCCAUUUGGUCCUGGACGUGGAAUGACUACAUUCACCAGAUUCCCUGCAGAAGCAAAAUUAAAAAGAAUUUUCAAGUAAUCCCAAACCAUCAACAUUAAAAU